CGUUCCACUCGUCCGCGCUGGCGGGGCGGAGCUCGGGGCGGGGCGGCCCCUCCCUGCGAGCGCUUGCGCUGCUGCCCGGGCUGCCCGUGAAGGUGGCGUGGCUUAUGCCCGGAAGGCUGCCGGGCCGUGUCGUGCUUCAGCGGAGAUCGCUUACAAGACUCAAGGCGGAUGACACAGUACAGUCCGUUUCAAAGAGGUUUCAACAAACAAUGUACUAGGACUACCUUGCAAAGAUUUAAAGCUAGAAGAAAUCCAAUACAGAGUUGAAGAAAUGCUGAAACGGAGCAUAGUUUUAGAUGGAUAUACACUUCUAUGCAUCUAAGGAAGCGAGUUCUAACUCAUGAAAGAUCAGGAUGAAAACUGUAGGUGAUUUUCGACUCCUGCAUAAUUUUGCUACAACAGACUAACAGUCUUACCCUCUGGAAUGGCUCUUCAAAAGAAGAAUUCAGUGUGAAAAUGCUGGAUUAGGAUUCCGUGUUCUCUCUCUUCAAGGCUUGAAGCUGGACUAUAAAUGAAAAUGAAAAAAAAAAUCAUAACAACAAGGACUUGGGUUUCCCCACUCACUAUACUUUCAUAUGGGUAUUGGUCUGCAAUAGAUGAGCAAGAUUUGAGUCUAGCAGCAUCUUAAAGAUGAAGGGAGUGUUGACUCUUGAAAGCUUAUACCCUGGGAAUCUUACUGGUCUUUAAGGUGCUACUAGACGGGAAUCUUGCUCCUCAGUCACAAUAGGUGCUAAUAACUCAGCAUGAUGACCCUCUUUACAUAUGUUAAUUAGUUCUUCUUGUUUCACUGCCGCUUUCUUGAUUAGGUCUGAUUUAUGUUAAUCCUAUUCUGCCAAUCUUAUCAACUGUUAGGAGUGGUCUUCACCCCCUCUGAAUAAAUGAAAUUUCCUUUGGUCAUUGUUUCAA